rnacentral:lncRNA from 1 species
UUCCAUUGAAUUUGAAUUAUCUUUGAUCUCAAUUUCAUAACAAAACAUUUAUUUUUCACUGGAAAAAGCUCUAAAGAUUACCAUGCAUGCAAUGGGAAAAUUAAAGACAACAAGGAAGAAAAUAGAAAAUGGAUCAGUUGCAACGUUAAUAGAAAGCAGAGCAUGGCAAAAUUUUUAAGCAGCAGCAGAAGCAGAUUCUCUCUCCACAGCUUUCUUCAAGAGACUAUCUUUUUCCAACACCAUCUGAACAGG